CACUGUGACACGCUAAAUCUGUAGUCAAGCCUGACUAAGGUAUAAAAGCCAAUCGUCGCGAGCUUGACAGCCUUGUCAAACGCAAAACAAGUACAAAUUUGGGUUCAAACAGAAAGAAGUUCAAUGUUAAUACAACUAACAUAUAUUCUAUACAAAUACGGGUAGUUUAAAAUGUUUUCAAUUGAAUUUUCAAAGCUUUUAUCUAUCGCUAUGAUAAUCAAACUGUGAACUUGAUGCGGCAGUUUUGUUGACGCUUGCGAAUGCAAAAUAACUUCCCGUAAACAGAGCAUUUCUACACAAAACUCUCGCUUAGUCUUCUGAUGCACUUGUACGUUCGGUUCUACUAGUUAAACUAGGAAAAUAUUCAAGAAACACUGGUAAAUUAUCGUUGUCAAAAAACAUUUCACUGCUGAGGCAGUACAAGGUCUCAAGGGCAAGGUCAAGUUGUCGAUUUCAUUACAUUUUACAGUACUUCGGAAUGUUUUCGAACUCUUGCUUCAUACAAGAGCAGUAAACGCACG